UGAGGAGUCACUGAUAAGAUAUGAGAUUUUGGAAAUUGCUUGGAAAAUCUACUGGGAUGGGCCUCCUCUUUUUAUUGUAUCAUGUAACGGAUGCACUGUUUCCUUUUCAUUUCUUAUUACUCUGGAGAGAAUACAGUUGGAUUGCAGCUGCCGCAAAACAGGCUGAAAACUGUACUAAGACAUCAACUUCUAAAGACAGAGGAGUGUGCUCGGAAGUACCUGUUUGCGGCCCACGGACCUGGUGGUACAGAUGCCUGAAAGGAGUCCUAGAGAGUGAAGAAGGGAAUGGAGUUUUGGCCACCAAUGAGGACAGCAGAUUGUGCCUUACUGCAUGCCCACCGCAGCCCACGUGA
rnacentral:lncRNA from 1 species